UUACGGCCUUAUCAUGUUGAAACACCAGGUUCUCUACAAUCCCCAAAGUUAAGCAACGUCGAGCCUGAUCAGUACCCAGAUGGGUGACUGCUUGGGAAUACCAGAUGCU
rnacentral:rRNA from 1 species